rnacentral:lncRNA from 1 species
UUUUGUUUUUGUUUUUCUGUAGGUAGUGAUUAUUACUGUCCUACUAAAUUAUACUGAACUGGAAAGCCAUAAUGAAGUUAAUGACUUUUUUUUUUUGUUCAUUUUGUACUUUAAGAUUCUUGGUACUAAAAUAUAGCUAUUGAAUACUGAGUGCAAAAAAAAAAAAAAAAGAAGGAAAGUUGUGUUAUUCCAUUUGGUUUGUUUUCUGUUUGUAUGUUUGUUUUAAUACUAAAAGUAAGAGAAAUUUUAGGUGUCAUUCUCAACCAUGCCCCGUGGUUCAUCGCAGAGAAUUUAAUUAUACCUCUUUUUCUGUGUUUAAUGCUGCUACUGUCUCCUCACUUUUAUGCUUUGCAAGCAGACUAGUAAGGGCCUUGUAAACCAAAGAGGGAGUGUGUUUUUAGCAAGUGUAAAGCCCUCACUGUAAUAUACAGGUGCAAAAAUAAAUAAGAAAAAAGGGCAGAAAUAGUCACUCCAACAGAAACUUAGUUUGAGGUUUCUAAAGUCAGUUCUUUAUAGGAUUUGGAGCAAUUGUGUUAUGUGUCUUAUUCCUUAUAUACUGUUCAAGAAGUAGAAAUUGGAAUCACUAUAUUUUGCUUUUACAGUUUGUCUUCCAUGGCACAUUGUUGGGGAGAGCAUCAACAUACAAAAAAAAAAAAAAAAAAAAAAAACUAUAGCUGGAGUUGUAACUCUGUAGUACACAAGAUACAUGCACAAGGCUCUGGGUUUGAGUUCCAACUCAUUAAAAAAAACUCAAAGUUUAGAUUUUAGGAGUCAGAUGAAAUAUCAACAGGCAAUUUAUGUUUGCUUUUCUCUUACUGUAUCUUGAAAUGGUAUGUGUGUGUAUGAUUUGUUUUGCCUGCAUUUAAAUGUGCCACAUGUAUGCAGUGUGUGUAUGUGUUGUGUAUGUGUGUGUGUGAAUUGUUUUGCCUAUAUGUACAUGCUCCACAUGUAUGCAGUGCUCAUGAAGCCAGAAGAGGGUGUUGGAUCCCCUGAGAUGGAAUUACAGACAGCUGUGACCUGCAAUUUUAUUCCUUGGGAGCAAACACAGGCUCUCUGGAAGGGUAGCCAGUUAUUUAACCACUGAGCCAUCACUCCAGUCCCCCACCCCAAAGCUUCCUUGUAGUUGAGAAAUGCAUGUUGAAAGUAUAUAAAAUAUGAAUAUACAGUUUAAGGAAUAAUUUUAAGGUAAUUUCUUAUCUAACCAAUAUUGAAAUCAAUAGAACAUUGGUAUCAGAAACCUUUUUAAUCCCUUUCUAGUCACAAACACUUUAAAUACCCUUGAUAAUUACUAUUGUCUUCUUUUUUAUUAAUGGUUGCAGUUGCCUCGUUUUUCUGAAGUUACCUCUGCUAUGUAUGUGAAUCUAAACAGAACAGUUUAGUUCUGCGGCUUCUGAACUGUAUGUAAAGAAUCGUCCUGCAUUGUUUUGUGUCUGUCAUUCAUCAUAAUUCAUCCAUGUUUGUUGUAGCCAUACUUUAUUUACCAUUGCUGUAAUUACUGUUGUAUUAAUGUACCAGUUUAUUGACUGUUGUAUUGACUGUGAAUAAUGAGAUGUAUUUAGUUUCAGAUAAUUACAGUUCUAUAAUAAAUGUGUUUUAUACACACAUUUCUCUUGAGUUGCAACUAAUAUGUCAAGGAUAAAAAUUGCAUGUUUAUAGAUACUCUUUUUUGAAAUGAAAGUAUAACUACAUCAUUUCCCCUUCCCUACUUUGCUUUCCUCUUCCCAACGCUUACCACGCCACCAUCACCCUAUGCUAAGCAUUAGAUAUGUUCAUUUCUCCACAUUGUGAUCAGUUUGUAUGGUUUUUGCUUUUACAUUUUGAUAGUGUGGUAGACAUGCAAUUGUAUUUCAUUGACUGUUUCCUCAUAUCUCUUAUUACAGGGUGUGGGGCACCUUUUCACAAAUUUAUUGGCCAUUUCAACCUUCCUUUUUGGAAAGUAUCUUGUCAUAUAUGUGGCACAUCUAUGUUUUGUUUUGGCAGUGCAUUUGAUACAUGGGAGAUCUUUAUAUAUCAUGUUCUUUGUUGUCUGUAUAGUUGUAAAUAUCUUCUGUUCAGAAGCUAAAGGUUAGAUACUUAGCAGGACCAGUCUUUUGUUUCAUAAUAAAAACCUCAUUCCCAGCCUGGGGAAUCUUCUCUUUUGUCUUCUAAGCACAUUAGUUUUGCCUUUCAGACUUAAGUCAUAAUUCGUAAGGAGUUCAUUCCAGAUGUGACAGCUAAUACUAUUAGUAUUUUUUUUCUAGUACUGCCAAGGUAGCAUUAAAAAAUGUGUAUGGAUCUUUCUGAACCAUUUGUUUCUUUCCCUUUCUGUCUUAAUGACAACAUACUGUCACAUCACUGAAGCUGAUAUUUUUAAUGAUUGGCAAAAUUCAUUUUUCAAACUUAAUCAAUUUUUUCUGUUAAAAUGUCAUGAUUAUUCUUAACCCUCUAUUUUCUGUUCUCAGAGUUCUCUAUAAACUUGGAAAUUGAUCACUCUGGCAGUCAAAUUAAAAAUUUUUUUUUAAUCUCAUUUGUGUGGUUUGUGUGUCCAUGCAGUGUGCCUGUGUUUAUGUGCACUGUGUGUAUGCAGAGGCCAGUGGAGGGCAUCGGAUCCCCUAGAUACGGAGUUAGAGGCACUGGUGAGUUACCCAAGAUGGGUGCUGUGAAUGAGACCCUCUCCUCCACAAGAACUGCAAGUACUGUUGACCACUGAACCAUCUCUCCAGCCCAAAGAGUGAGCGUGAUCUGAUGAACCAAAAGCCUUCCUCUGAGUCUGUCAGCUUUCGUUUCUUCUGUUCUUUCUCUGUAUCCAGUUUCCUUUUAAUUACUUGCCAAAAUUUACUUGAAAAUGUACAGAAAUUACUUGAUAGCGGGAUAAUACUUUUAUUUUUCAAGACUUCUGCCUGCCUCCCCCUCGCCCCCCCUUCCUACACACACAUACACAUCUUUUGUUUCUGCCAAAACCUAGGUCCUAGUGACUUAAAAUCACUUUGCUGGAAUUUCAUUCAGGCCCUCCAAUUUCCUGAUCCUUCUAAUGGAGUUCAAGGUAGAACGUCAUACUGUUUGUUCUUAGUUCUUGUCUACCCUUAUCCUUAAAGUUCAUCCCUUCGAAGUUCCAAAAGUGGUUUGAAGAUACCAGAGUCCCCACUUCUUGAUUGACCCUGAAAAUUAGGUUUUUUCCUUAACCAAUACCCAGCUAAACUAAAACUCAAAAUAAAAAGAUUAUUAAAAAAAAACACAUGUUUCGAAAAUACUGAUGAUUUAAAAACUCAUGCUUAAAAACAGUCCUAAUGAGCCAGGAUCAUUGGAAUGUAGUAAUGGAGCGAGCACCUGUCAAUGGCAUCAAAUCUUUAAUAUUAAAUUUUCUAUAUCCUUAUGUUUUAAUAAGCUAUAAUGUGAAUUAUUAUAAGAUUUAUAUGGAAAGUCACCUAUUAUAUUAUACUUGCUGUUUUUCUCCCAGAGUGUAUUUCUGUUUUAUAUAUCCUGAAGCAAAAUUAGUAAGUACACUUGUUUAAGUAUGUCCCCCUAGGCUCAUGUUUUUGAAUACUUACCAGAAUGCAUACUAUUCAGAAGGAUUAGAAGGAUUGGGGCGUGUGGCCUUGUUGGAGGAAGUGUGUUACUGGGGAUGGGCUUUGGCCAGGUGUUUUGUGUGUAUGUGUGUGCUUGGGCACUCACAUGUGUGUGUGCCUUCAGGUCAACAUGUAGCUCUCAACUCUACUACAGUGCCAUGCCUGCCCCCAUAUUCCCCAUCAUGAUGAUGAUAAUUCACUAAAGUGAAACUAUAACCCCUAAUUAAACACUUUCUUUGAU